CUGCUGUGUGACCUGAAGGAGAUCAUGGGAACUAUGAAGACUCAUGGACGAACAAGCCCAGAAGAGGAAAGAACAGGAGUCAGGCAUGGCUCUUUCUUGGCUUCCAGAGUCUUAGUUCGUUGAGUAGGGAUCGAACCUGAAUCCCUGCAGUGGAAGUGAGGGAUCUUAACCACUGGACCAUGAGGGUGUUCUCCAAGUUUACUGAUCUUGAUGAAAGGUUGCUGCUUGAACGAAAGGACACCGGGAUUCUUGACCUCCAGAGGAGAAGAAUUCAAUCCGGGGCCAGAGACAAGGCUUGAUCUCUCAAAACUUUCGUUCAAUAAAGUUUAAUUAUUAAAGUAUAAAGGAGAUAGAGCAAUCUUCCG